rnacentral:rRNA from 1 species
AGAGUUUGAUCAUGGCUCAGGACGAACGCUGGCGGCGUGCUUAACACAUGCAAGUCGAACGGAAAGGCCCUUCGGGGUACUCGAGUGGCGAACGGGUGAGUAACACGUGGGUGAUCUGCCCUGCACUUCGGGAUAAGCCUGGGAAACUGGGUCUAAUACCGGAUAGGACUACGAAUCGCAUGGUUUGUGGUGGAAAGCUUUUGCGGUGUGGGAUGGGCCCGCGGCCUAUCAGCUUGUUGGUGGGGUGAUGGCCCACCAAGGCGACGACGGGUAGCCGGCCUGAGAGGGUGUCCGGCCACACUGGGACUGAGAUACGGCCCAGACUCCUACGGGAGGCAGCAGUGGGGAAUAUUGCACAAUGGGCGCAAGCCUGAUGCAGCGACGCCGCGUGAGGGAUGACGGCCUUCGGGUUGUAAACCUCUUUCAGUAUCGACGAAGCCUUUUCGGUGACGGUAGGUACAGAAGAAGCACCGGCCAACUACGUGCCAGCAGCCGCGGUA